CUUCCAGUAGCACCUUAGAGACCAACUAAGUUUGUUAUUGGUAUGAGCUUUCGUGUGUAUUCUGAAGAAGUGUGCACGCACACGAAAGCUCAUACCAGUAACAAACUUAGAUGGUCUCUAAGGUGCUACUGGAAG
rnacentral:miRNA from 1 species